UUUUUUUUUUUUUUUUUUUUAAUUUUUAUUUAUUUAUGAUAGUUACACACACACAGAGAGAGAGAGAGGUGCAGAGACACAGGCAGAGGGAGAAGCAGGCUCCAUGCACCGGGAGCCUGACGUGGGAUUCGAUCCCAGGUCUCCAGGAUCGCGCCCUGGGCCAAAGGCAGGCGCUAAACCGCUGCGCCACCCAGGGAUCCCAGCUUGUCCUUUUUAAAAUGGUCCUUUUAAAUUAUUUUAAAUAAUAAACAUUAAUCAUCUUGACCUCUAUACAUUCAAGGAAAUUUCCCAUGGUACUGUUUUCUUGACAUACAUAGGAGGCUACCUCAUUUAUGAAACAGAAGAUUUCAAUUUCUUUUCAGUGUGUUAGAAAGACAUUGGGAAUGAAGUAAAACCUCUCUAAAUAACUUGAUCAUGACAGUCCACCUACCUCAGCUUUCAGUGUCCGACUAAAAGCCCAGCUUAAUCAAUUCUUGCUUAAUCAGAAGGGAGCUAGUGGUGACUGAGAUUAAAAGGCAAGGGAGUGCAAGUGGUAAAGGGGCCACAGUAUCAGUAAAAUUUCUUAAGGGCUUUGUUCUAAUAAGUGGACAUAAGAGGAACAAAAAAGUAUCUUCUAAUGUGGCCUGUGGAUAAUCUGAAAUAGGAAAACUCAAGAAAUUUAUAAUAUAUAGUAAUGAACACUUAGGAAAAUGCUUCACUGGUGGCUUUUCAUACUAUACUGGCAGCUUGAUGAUGAAGUUUUGUUUUCAUUUGUUUUCUUUGGCAGGAAAAUGGAUAAUCACUGACAACAGACUAUGCACUUGUGCCUUAACCUUACCGCUUACAUGUUAAACUCCUGCAGGACGCACCCCUUUCCUAGUGGAACAGGGCCCGUGGCAAUGAUCUUUCCUCUCACUGGAGUUUUAAAAAAUGCUGUCAUUGAGUGUGGCAAUGGUGUAGGAGUUAACCCACAAGUUCCCAAUCUAUUAAAGAUGUUUCUAGCCUUUCAGUGAGUGCUGUACAGUAUUUUGGAGUUGAAUGUCACUAACCAUGUGUGUGUGGUGGGAACUAUCAGUAUAAAAUAACUAUUGGAAAUAUGAUUAAAUCUGUCAUACUAUUCUGGAGCCUCUGACGUAUGACUUUUAUUCUUUAACAAAUAAUACUUUUUAGUAUCUGUCCAUUAUUAGAAGAGCCAAUUUGUUAAAUAUUUUAAAUAUUUUUCUCUUAUGAUCUUCCCUAACCGUAGUCUCAUAAUUUAGUCUAUAUUGGAAUAGUAUUUCAGGGACUGAGGGUUUCUUGAGUGCUAUUUUUUGACCCCAUUGCAAUGAGCAGACUUUAUAGUUGGUGCCUUUUUUUCGUACCAAAGAAAAAUUAGAUCAAAAUUGGUGCUAAAUUUCACGUUCCUUUUAAAAUGAUUUUUUUCUUUUUUAAUAUAUGUAUAUCACAACAGGAAAUGUAUAGAUCCAGCAGUAUUAUGCAUGUUGUAUUCUGUAUAUACAUUUAAGGACAAAAACCUCACCUAUAAAAAGCAAUGGAAUUCCCAAAUCUGCUUAGAGGUAUAUAAUUUUUGUUAACACAUAAGGCUUUAAAGUAUAAAACUGAUAAGAAAAUGAUCACUAAAUGAAAACUUAGUAAUGAAUAUACCCCCUAAGGUAGUAACUUUAAGGAAAAAGUCCCAUACAAUGUUGUAUCUCAAAAAAUAAAAAGUCCCUUGUCAAUGUUUCUAGCACAAAGUUAGCUAUUUAAAGUAUUCUGUAACUCUGAGGGUGUAUAGAAAAAGUUUUAUGUAUAUUUUAUUGUAUAUAUAUUUACAUAUGUACAAAAUAGCUUUCUAAUGAACUUUAGGUAUUUUAAGCUAUUUUUUCAGGCUAAAAGUAGAGGGGAGUCAUCAGUCUUUAAACUUGGAUAAUGAGCUACAUUUAAACAAAACUUCUCACUGGAAGUAUCAUUGUUCAUCUUUCAGAUUUAGCAUAAAGACUUAAGUCAGUAAGGGCUACAUCUAGGUUAACGUCCACGAUCUCAGACCUAAGAUUUAUUAAAGGGUUCUCAGCAUCAUGGUUGCAGCCGACUAUGACACCCAACUAAAAUUCCACAUGGACCUCUGAGUCUUCAUGUCUUAUAAGUAGGAUUCUGGUGAAGUGAGGACAACAGGUUUUUAUUUAAUCCUGCUGACUUUUAUAGACUGUCUUACUCUAUGAGGAUUUUACAAAUAUAAAUCAGGAAAAUGAUACGCUGUAGGAAAUGAGGAAAACCAUACGUUUAGAAUCUACUAGAGUAUACUGGAUUCUCUGAAAUAAUAACUCCUUCUGCUCACAUGACUUCUAUGUGGAAAGGAGAAUGGGGGCUUGUUAAUCAGAAGUUACUGUACAGUGAGAUUAAAUAUCCCUUUACUAACUUCUGAUGUGACUUAAUUUAGGUGGUUUGAGAGCUGGAAGAUUGCAAAGGCACUGUUCAGUGCUUGGUAACUUUUUAUUUUCUUGGUUUGUUCUCCUAUCAGUUUAUUUUAGCCUGAAAAUUAUAGCUACAGCACAGAACCCUGCAGUAUUAAGAGAGAGCUUGGAUUUUUUAAGUAUCUCCUCAUAUAAUAUGACAUUUUUCACGUCAACUUAUUUUCAUGUUUAUCUGAAAAGUAAAUUCUAAAUUAUUUGCAUAUUUUCCAAGUUAGAAAAACAUGCUAUAUCGUAGACAUCAAAACCAAGUUAUUCCAAGUGCACGCUGUAGACUGCAGUGAGGCUCUGCUUCUCUGCCUACACAGAAUGCCAUUUUUGGCACAAUAGUUGUUUAAAUAUAGAUCACUGUGUGAAAUGAUUAUGCUGGAUUUGAUCAGUAUGCAGUAUUUUAGUACUUGCCUUUAAAAAAUGAUUUUUUCUUUUUAAAGAGUAUAAUUUAUGAUUGAUUUUUUUAUAAUGUGCAAUUUCAUAUAGGUAACCAAAACCUUUUUAAUGGGAAGAGCUUUGUAAUCAUUUAGAGAAUAAAAUCAUUUUACUGUAGAACAAUGUGAUAUCCUCAGUAAAUACAAUAAAAAAUUUU
rnacentral:lncRNA from 1 species